ensembl:lncRNA
GGUCAAGGUUUACAUAUUUUACCUCAUCUUUCAAGUUUCAAGCACUGCCUUUCUCCAAUUAGAAGUUAAUUGUAUUGUUAUCUGAAAUGAUCUUGUUCAGCAAACCCGCCCUCUCGUGUCCCAUCUGGUUCUAAAAAUAAAUAAAUGCGAUGGAAGAUGUGUCGGAUUAGACGCUUUAAUACUUUAUUCCAUAAACCAAAUGGUGACAUCGCCGAGACCUAUUAUUUAACAACUAAUAUAAACGCCUUUUCUGAGACUGUAAAAAUGUUAGAAUUUUAAUAAUAUCUAAUUCACAAAUUAUGAUCUGGAUCUGAAUUGCAAAAGGCUGUGGUUAUAAAUAUCAUAACUCUUUUACACAAAGAUGAAUUUUUUUAAUGUAAUCCGAAUUUGCAGGAUUGCUUGGUAAUUGGUAAAUAGUCCGACGGUAACAUUUGACACAAUAAUACACCGCUCUAUUAAAGUAUAAUAGUAUAUUCUCCACUGCAGGUGUAGUAUGAUACAAAUUAAGUAAUAAGUGACAACUUCAGCGCUCAUUUUUAAAGACUCGUAACUCCCAGUUUGUUCAAUUUUUUCAACAUAAUGCUCUUAUACUUGUUUUCCAGAGUGUUUUACAAGUUUCUAUUCAGAUCUGCUAAAGUAGUGUUUGAAAUGUCCUGCUUCCAUAAAAAAAACAGGACAAUUGGUACCAAAAACAACCAGCUUGCUGAAGCAGUUUGAGACCAUUUGCUCCACUAACAGUAAUGGUGGCAACACGUGCACGUCUGUGUGAAUGCAUGUGAGCUAAAGGAGACGGUACCAUAAAUCCGUCACAGACGUUUUAAAUAGGAGGCCUAGAACAUGCAGUGAAAGGCUGUGUGACCUCGCCAUACUGUUAAGCCUUAACCCCACUUAGUCAGAAAAGGUAUCACUCUAGUGGUUAGCCAGUAACCGCACAUAAUAAAUUAAAAACAAACAACGUUUGGGAUGUGGAUUCGUUUAAUCUUCCAACAUUUCAAGUCUCUAAAUCAUGUAUCGGCUAUGUGACACUGGCUCUUUCUGCUUGGUGGCAGGUUGACUCGUCCCUCAAAGUCCUCGCGGCGCAGCAUUUGCAUCUGUCAGCAGAUUCUCAGUGGGAUGUGCACCUGUGCAAGUGUCUCUCGCGUUAUCGACAAAAGAAAAUCCCUAUUAAAUGCUGUGAUGAUCUCCACGGCCUGACUCUCGAAGCUCCACGUGAGUCUGCAGAUGUAAAACAACUAAAUGUUGUAAAUGCCAAGAAGAAUGUUGGAUCCUAUUACCUGUUUGUGCAUUUUACCCAAUCACAAGCCAGUAUAUUCCACUCACUUUUACCACCAGUCCUCCUGAUGGCCUCACUGUCCCUGCCUGAAAUGACACAGUAAUCACUCGGCCAGAGGCUCUUUGGAGGAUUUCAAUGGGAAAUUGAUGCCUCUUAAUACAUCGUGCAUGUAACUGUGAGGCAUUUAGUUUUGUUAUUAGGCAAAGAGGGAAAAUAACGUGGCUCCAUCUUCCCACACUGACACCCAAAAGUGAUGUCAGUUAGAAUGUUAGUUUUCAAUCGAGACAUCUGACACACAAAUGGAUGCCGUGUGGGAGGGUGUUUUGGAUUUCGUCUCAUUUCUGAAUUGACUUCACCACUUAACAGCAAACAUCCUCACCUGUUUACCUUUUUAGGGACCUUAAUGGACGCAUCAUUUGUACAACAAAACUAGAUCCGCCAAUUCAACCGCUUGGAAAGCCGGUGCAGUAUGAGCAGUGAUCUUCAUUAUUUCAGCUUUUUAAAUCAAUAACAUAACCUUUUCUCACAAGGUUCAGAAGAUGAAGGCCAUAGUGAUACCUGAUCAGCCUUGAAUUCAUCUUUUGAAAUUUGGCACUUUUGCCGGUCAGUGUUUUUCAGCCGAGUUGUAUUUAUUGAUCAAUGUUUCCCUUGAGUUUAAGCGUUGAAUAACUCUACAGCCUCAGCCGAGAAAAAGUACACACUCGACAACACACUUUUAAUAAAUUACAAACCGACCCGAAUUUAGAAUUUAAACAGUUUUUAGAGGUUAUUUCAUAGUUAAAUAAUCCGGCCAUCCACUGCAUUUAGUGUCCUGUGACAUGCAUUGUUCUAACUAAAAACAGGCUAAACAUCAUGAUCAUGAAGAACGUGAGGUUGCAUCACAUUUUUUUCUUCCCGUCCAUGCAUGACCUCCAACGUCAUCAAGCUCUGUCAUCAUUAUCAUCUCUUAAUGUUGUUCAGAGGAGCGAGGAGGCCUCCAGAAGUGCUCGGGGAUGAUUAUUACAUGAGCAUCCGACGUGGAGGCUCCUUUCGCUGAACGUGAGAUCUGACGAGAUGAGACUGAUACAGCGCGCUGCCGCGGAGGCUUUGCAUCACCUCAGCAGUGCAGGGUGGCACCGGCCAGAUGACAGCACACAAUCGGGCAUGUUCAGGCGUUGACGUCCGCGCCCUGCACAGCCGUGGACGCCGACGGCCGCGCGGGAUCGUCUGCGCCCAUGAACAGCUGACUGCACAGUGAACUCCGCGGCCCUCCGG